AACAACAAAACCAGGAAUUUAUUUCUCACAGCCUCUGAAGUCUGGGAAGUCCAAGCUCAAGGUGAAGCCUCCUCAGGUGGCAAAGAGCAGAAGCACAAAAGAGACCAAACUCCCUCCCUCAAGCUCUUUUACAAGAACACUGAGACAUUCACAAGUGCUGAGUCCUCAAACCUACUAACCUCCUGAAGGCUACACCUCAAAUACGGAUUGAAUUUUCGCAUGAGUUUUGAGGGACACCCAUUCAAAGCAUAGCACCCUUCGGCUUCAGAGAAGCUCCAGCCCUGUUGUCACCAAGCAGGUUCCCCCUAGGCAGAGCGCCAAGAAGCAGCCCAGGCGAUCCCAAGGCGCACAAGUGCUCUCACCAGGCUGCGCGCUGGCGGGUCGGUGCACAGGGACGGGGUCGCCGCCCACGCGCGCUUGGUUCAGGGAGCCCAGGCUGUCCCUACCCGCGGCUACAAAAGCUCGCCGAGUCUUCCUGUCCACCCAAUCGCCCCACAUGUCAGCGGUUGGUCGCCUCGCGGUGCAGUGCUGGGCACGCGAGCCCCUCCCGCAGUCAUUCUCAGCACAAGCACCAGCCUGGAGCCCCGCAGCGACAGAGCUGAGAGCCCCCAAGCCGCAGAGGUCGUGCGGAGCAGGUUGCAAAUGUCUUAGAAACACACUCCUGGACCACAGCUUCAAGAGACGCAAGCAGUCACCUCAUCUGCUGGUUUCCAAGCUGCCCUGCCAGAAGCAGGUCAGGGGUCCCACAGGGGUCCUCAGUAACUCCUCAAAAUCCUCUCCCAUCAAUGGCCCCACCAGAUCAUCCCUACUUUUGAAUGCUUGUCCAAUGCAGGUUCCAGAUUUGAUUAAGUGAAACAAAGCCCCAGCUGCUGGAGCAGAGGUUCCACUUGGGUUCCACAGACACCCACAGCCCAAAUCCCUGGAGGCCUAAGGCAAUAGCUAAUUGAGACUAUGCAUCACUAUUAAGGCAUCUUCACUAAAGGGCGCUGUGGAAACGCUGCCUGAGAUGCAGACACCUGUCAGAAGGGGGCUAAAUUUCAAACAAGGAACGUGGUGUUGCAUCACAAUAAAAACAGAAGAAACACACGUGUUCUUGUGUGUAAACCCAGUCCAUGGAAGAGACCGUCUGCUUGUCCCUCCUGAUCUCUGGGCCCAGACAACCAGUAGUCACCAUUCCAAGUGAGGGGUGGCUGCAACUCUACAGCCCCGUUCGUCUCUCCUCACUGUCAAAGCUGCUGAGACCCCAGACUCGACACUUGAAAGAAACCCAUGUCUGUGAAGCACUUGUGGACCAUUCAAGAUUGUGGAAGAAUCACUCAAGAGAAGGAGAUAGCAAUAUUUGCAGAUAUGCAAACUGGCCCCUUGCAUGCACAUCCUGGAGCACGUCCUGGAGCCUUUAGAGGAGACGGCUGCUGCUGUUCCAGUCUCUCCUUAGGCAGACUUGAGUUUCUACCCACUCUUCCCAAGCAGCCGCCCCUCCGCACCCGAGCGAGCCAAAGACCUGGCGGGCUGAGUACUCACUGCGCGCUGGACACAUGCUGAGCCGGCACUGCAGGGACACAGGGCGAGCCGCUGGAUGCAGACCUGUGGCCGCGGCAGUUGGGCUUAUCUUGCCCAUGAAGUUGCCUCUGAAGAACCAAGUCCAACUGUGUAUGCUGAGAGAUGUCUGGCUACUUCCUGAUUGACAGUUCUGGCAAGGUGGCAUUGGGCCCUGGCUUUUCCUCUGGAGGCAUCAUCACUUAUAGGAAAAUGUCCCCUGAAGUCCAAGGAUCAAAGCUGCUGGAACACUGAGAAGCUGAACAAAGGAGAACUGUUUCUCAUCAAACCCAGACUUCCAGACUUCCAAUAGGGUAGAAUGAGCAAGUCAGCAAAUCAUCUUCCUUGGAAACAGUGAUAAAACUAGAUGACAUUGUCAACAACAGCCAUUUCAGAAAUCUAGAAAAUGACCAAAGGCAAACAACAAACUGAGAAGCAUUUUUUUUUCCAUGAAAAAUCGCUCUAUUUCUGCAAAAAUAGUGGGAGUCUAUGGCUUCUCAUCCAGGGCUGUUUCUCUCCCCACCCCAGCUCAGUCAGUACAAAGGUUCUGGCAGCAUGAGGCAGACUGAACAGACCUGAAGUUUGAUUGCUGGAAGAAACUGACUCCAGGUUUGGCAGAGGGUGAGAAACCUACUCCCAGCCAUGUUGUCUGGUGACACAGUGACCUUAGGGACAAGUGAAUAGGGAAGGCCAGUGAUUCAUUAACCUGAGGUUGCAGUCCUGGUUGGGGAAAGCAUCAGAAUGGCAGAUAAGCUAGAAAUUUAGUAGGGAUAUGCUGGAAAUGAGACAACCCCAAAGGGGCUUGACCCCAAAGUUGUCCACACACCCCAGCUGCCUUCUGAGCAGAUGUAGGGAGAGACCAGAGAAGGCCUAGGCUAUCCACACAUCUCUGGCUAACCCAGGCUGUAAACCUGUGGAGGAGACACAAGAGGUGGAUUGAUUGCUAAUGGGCAUAUGGGGGAUCUUACUGGUUGAUAGGAACAUUCUCAAAUUGGAUUGUGGUGAUGCUUGCACAACUCUAAGUUUAUCCCAAAUUGCUAAAUUUUACACUAAAAAGGGGUGAACUUUAGGGUAUAUAAAUUAUACAUCAAUAAAGUUGUCAUAAAGCAUUCACAUUCUAAUAAAUGGCUCUAAGAA
rnacentral:lncRNA from 1 species